rnacentral:rRNA from 1 species
CAAGUCGAACGAGUUCUCGUUGAUGAUCGGUGCUUGCACCGAGAUUCAACAUGGAACGAGUGGCGGACGGGUGAGUAACACGUGGGUAACCUGCCCUUAAGUGGGGGAUAACAUUUGGAAACAGAUGCUAAUACCGCAUAGAUCCAAGAACCGCAUGGUUCUUGGCUGAAAGAUGGCGUAAGCUAUCGCUUUUGGAUGGACCCGCGGCGUAUUAGCUAGUUGGUGAGGUAAUGGCUCACCAAGGCGAUGAUACGUAGCCGAACUGAGAGGUUGAUCGGCCACAUUGGGACUGAGACACGGCCCAAACUCCUACGGGAGGCAGCAGUAGGGAAUCUUCCACAAUGGACGCAAGUCUGAUGGAGCAACGCCGCGUGAGUGAAGAAGGCUUUCGGGUCGUAAAACUCUGUUGUUGGAGAAGAAUGGUCGGCAGAGUAACUGUUGCCGGCGUGACGGUAUCCAACCAGAAAGCCACGGCUAACUACGUGCCAGCAGCCGCGGUAAUACGUAGGUGGCAAGCGUUAUCCGGAUUUAUUGGGCGUAAAGCGAGCGCAGGCGGUUUUUUAAGUCUGAUGUGAAAGCCCUCGGCUUAACCGAGGAAGCGCAUCGGAAACUGGGAAACUUGAGUGCAGAAGAGGACAGUGGAACUCCAUGUGU